GGGGAAAGCGCUCAGCCAAUCAGCGCGCGGAAGCCGGAACAGGACCGUCCGGUUCUGGAACGCUCCGACUCAGCAUUCCGCUCUGACCACGCCCCUCUGGGGGACAUCGACCAAUCGCAAAGCCAGAUGAUUCCCCUCACCACAGUCUGACCAGAUCUCUUUCUCCAGCGCACCACCAGUCUCGUUAGUGCUUUUGUGGAUGGUGCACUUCAUGCUCCUGCUUACACUCCUGAAGCACACCAGGGCAGUGAUGGGAGUUGAGUGUCCCCCAUGAGAAAGUUUUCAGGCAAUGCUCCUCUGAAUGGAGCUUGUGGUUUUAAGUACAGGAAGUUCUUAGGGUGACCAGAUGUCCUGAUUUUAUUGGGACAGUCCCAAUAUUUGGGGCUUUUUCUUAUAUAGGCUCCUAUUACCCACCACCUCCUGCCCCGAUUUUUCACACUUGCUAUCUGGUCACCCUAGAAGUUCUCCCAUACUGACAAUGAUCUAAUACAGAACUCUACAUGUUCAGCACCUCUGAAAAUCAUCCCCCUUUACGGUGUCUCAGUUGGGCACUCAAAAAUGGAGGAAUCCAAAUUUAAUGAAAGCAUCUGAAAAUUUAGAUUUACUGUGGUAACGCUGCAUAACCUCCAUUAGAGUUAUAUGAGCCUGCACUGUUCUAUAAUUUAGAGACUUGCUUGCUUUCCCAAUUUAUAAUGAGAACUGAUGGAUCUCUCAAGAUAUUAAAUGUUUCUUGUACAAGUUUUAGUUGUCUUUGGUAAGAAAAAUAUGGAAAUAGCUCUAUAUAUUUUAAAGCUAAAACAUCUGUGUAAUCAUGGGAACUUACAAGGUCAAUUUUUGUCUGUCAGCCCUUACAUCUUGAUACUGUUCUUCAUACUUCAUAGGCGUUUCUGACUGCUGAAAGUGGACUGACUAAUUGUGGGUACAAAUGGUACGCCGUUCCUGACAUCUUUACUCAUGCACAUAGCCCCACUGAAGUUUUGUGAGUAAGCGUUGCUGGAAUGGACCUUUGAAGGGCAAUGUAUUUUUUAAAAAUUGGGAGAGGGAAGCGGGCUCAGUUUACAGCAGCACAGAGUAGGCAUCAAUGUUGAGCUCAGUUUUUCACUCUUAGAGUUUUAUUCUGAGAUUCGUUUUUCUUUGCAGCUGGUGAAGGAUAUUAGGGUGCUGUCCAAAUACACCAGAGAAAGAGAAGCACCGAAAAGGCAGACUUCUCUAAACCACAGUUUGUGGGAAACGGAUGUAUACCUCCCUCGCCAGCCUUUUGACUGGAAAUGGGUGUAAAUUAUUGAGAAUUGUUUGAUGUUAAACCCCAAUAAAAAUUAUCUUAGAGUUUAA